AUCACACCUGGCGAAUGUAUGUCCUUGAGAGACUAAACCUUUAAGCAGCACAGGGCGGUAUUACACACUAACACCAGCGGCUGCUAUGCCUCCACCACCAGCGGACCAGACCUUGUCCCAACCCGGUACAACACCUUCUGUGACACAGAAGAAAAAGGAAAAAUUGCCCAUCAAGAAGACAAGAGCUAAGGAUGAGGUGACUGAGAUGAAAAAGAAGAAGGAAGAUGAUGGAGAUGAGAAGACAAAAGAUGCAUUGCUGGCUGGAGAGAAUUCUUCAGAAAAUGUACGUGCGUCGCUAGUCCAUGAACCACAGACGCCUACCAACUUGAAGAAGAAAGAAAGCAAAGAACCCAAUUUUUAUUAUCUUUCAAAUAUUAUGAAAAGC